ACCCUAAAGCGGAUCUCUUUUAGACCUUCUGCUUACUCAAGCUUCUCUUUGAUGCCGGGGGAUUCUGUGGGGGAGAGUGAUUUGGAGGGUGGAGUUACAGACCCUGAGAUUGCUUUGAAGGAGUCACUGAAGGAUUUGCAGAGCCUCCAGGAAGGAAGAACAGGAAAUGUGAAUCUGACAGAUGCUGAGGGGGCAUGAGGUGACGGAGCACUGGAACAGGCUGCCCAGGGAGGUGGUGGAGUCUCCUUCUCUGGAGAUGUUCAAGACCUGCCUGGAUGCCUACCUGUGCGACCUGCUGUAGGGAACCUGCUUUGGCAGGGGGGUUGGAGUUGAUGAUCUCUGGAGGUCCCUUCCAACCCCUGCAAUUCUGUGAUUGUAUUGGGUGGGUU